rnacentral:rRNA from 1 species
UGGCGGACGGGUGAGUAACACGUGGGUACCUACCCCCUGGUGAGGACUACCCCCGAGAAAUCGGGGACAAUCCCGCAUACGCUCGGGCGACCGAGCAAAGUUUCUCUUUGUGAGAGACGCCCGGGGAUGGGCCUGCGGCUGAUUAGCUGGUUGGUGGGGUAAGAGCCUACCAAGGCGACGAUCAGUAGCUGGUCUGAGAGGAUGGUCAGCCACACUGGGAUUGAGAACGGCCCAG